AGCAGUUUCACCUGUGACGUUGGUGAUGACUCAGCAACCCACCAUUUCAAGCAUCCCUGUCAAAUUCAGUUUUCUGGAAGGACAUCAUUCAUUAGCUGUGCAGGCUGGGCUUAUAGGAUGCUGAGGGCACAGAGCUGAAUACGGAACCUGAGGCAGAAUGCCACACAGCUGAAAUGAUCACCUGUCUGCCUCAAAGACUGAUGCUGAUGACCACUGUAGAACUGAUCUAUGGUGAUCUGCAUGGACCCCUAAGAUAGCUGAGAUUGCUGGCCCAGCUGGGACAUGGUUCUGGUCAUUUA